CUGUCCUUCCCAGCCACAUUUUUCAGUACGUGUGGCAGACCUAUCGGCUCUCGUCCCACCUUGUUUCGCUCCACCUCCAAAGUCCCAACCCCAGGGGGAAAAGGAUGGGAUAGAUUUCAGGGGGUAGUCGGGACAACGGCAGUAGCGAUGAAGACCUAUUUCAAGAAGAACCGGAGUCACCUCGGAGGCAGCGGCGGCGCCAGAGAUAUGCGCCAUCAUCA
rnacentral:lncRNA from 1 species